AGUAAAGUCAGCUAAACAAAGCUAUCGGGCCCAUACCCCGAAAAUGAUGGUUUAACUCCCUCCUUUACUA
rfam:Pterocles gutturalis contig106697, whole genome shotgun sequence.